rnacentral:rRNA from 1 species
CCAGACUCCUACGGGAGGCAGCAGUGGGGGAUAUUGCACAAUGGGGGGAACCCUGAUGCAGCGACGCCGCGUGAGGGAAGACGGUUUUCGGAUUGUAAACCUCUGUCUUUAGGGACGAAACAAAUGACGGUACCUAAAGAGGAAGCCACGACUAACUCCGUGCCAGCAGCCGCGGUAAUACGGAGGAUGCGAGCGUUAUCCGGAUUUAUUGGGUUUAAAGGGUGCGCAGGCGGAUUUUUAAGUCAGCGGUCAAAUCGUGGGGCUCAACCCCAUCCAGCCGUUGAAACUGGGGAUCUAGAGUGUGCGAGAGGUAUGCGGAAUGCGUGGUGUAGCGGUGAAAUGCAUAGAUAUCACGCAGAACCCCGAUUGCGAAGGCAGCAUACCGGUGCACAACUGACGCUCAGGCACGAAAGCGUGGGUAUCGAACAGGAUUAGAUACCCGUGUAA